rnacentral:rRNA from 1 species
UACGUAGGCAGCGAGCGUUGUUCGGAGUUACUGGGCGUAAAGGGUGUGUAGGCGGUUGUUUAAGUUUGGUGUGAAAUCUCCCGGCUCAACUGGGAGGGUGCGCCGAAUACUGAAUGACUCGAGUGUGGGAGAGGUGAGUGGAAUUCCUGGUGUAGCGGUGAAAUGCGUAGAUAUCAGGAGGAACACCGGUGGUGUAGACGGCUCACUGGACCAUAACUGACGCUGAGACACGAAAGCGUGGGUAGCAACAGG